rnacentral:snRNA from 1 species
GGAUGUGAGGGCGAUCUGGCUGCAACAUCUGUCACCCCAUUGAUCACCAGGGUUGAUUUGGCUGAUCUGGCUGGCUAGGCGGGUGUCCCCUUCCUCCCUCACCGCUCCAUGUGCGUCCCUCCCGAAGCUGCGUGCUUGGUGGAAGAGGACGACGUCCCAGGUAUAGAAGGAGUGUACCGAGGUCUCUAGUCUUCGGUCCUGGGUAUACGAUAGCUGUGCUCCCCUGCUAGAUCCUCCAAACAAGCUCAAGAAACAGUUACCUCCUCCUCAGCAUGCUCAACAGAAGACUCUUGUAUUUGGUCAGCAGGCUGAGAAGUCAUUCCUUCUAUAGAU